AACGAACGCUGGCGGCAGGCUUAACACAUGCAAGUCGAGCGCCCCGCAAGGGGUGCGGCAGACGGGUGAGUAACGCGUGGGAAUCUACCCAUCUCUACGGAAUAACGCAUGGAAACGUGUGCUAAUACCGUAUACGUCCUUCGGGAGAAAGAUUUAUCGGAGAUGGAUGAGCCCGCGUUGGAUUAGCUAGUUGGUGGGGUAAAGGCCUACCAAGGCGACGAUCCAUAGCUGGUCUGAGAGGAUGAUCAGCCACACAGGGACUGAGACACGGCCCAGACUCCUACGGGAGGCAGCAGUGGGGAAUAUUGGACAAUGGGCGCAAGCCUGAUCCAGCCAUGCCGCGUGAGUGAUGAAGGCCCUAGGGUUGUAAAGCUCUUUCACCGGUGAAGAUAAUGACGGUAACCGGAGAAGAAGCCCCGGCUAACUUCGUGCCAGCCGCCGCAGUAAUAC
rnacentral:rRNA from 1 species